UCAACACCACAGAUUGGAGUUAUUCAUGGU
rnacentral:piRNA from 1 species